CAUCUACAGAGUGAAAGGGAUGCGUGUUGUGGAAUGAAUGAGCGUGUGCGUGGAGACUGUUUGAUGGCGUGAGUGUGUGGUGUGUUUGUGAGUGAAUGUGCGUGAAUGUCUAUUUCUGUAAAAAAAAAAUCUACACAGUGAUCUUAUUUGAUUCGGUCAGGGUUUGGCUCUGCUCUGACCGGAGAUGAUAGGAAACGCGCUCUCGAGCCUCCGCGGCGAUGAGCAGCAGGCGACACUUGAACAGGGCCUUCCACUGCUUUGUGUUGUGGUAAGAGGUGAUGAUUCGAUCAGAUAUACUAGUUCUGGUGGGUUUGAGGUUCACCUCAAGCUUCACGGUGGACGAUGAGUAAAUAAGCGAUUCUGAUCUCA